rnacentral:rRNA from 1 species
CCUACGGGAGGCAGCAGUAAGGAAUAUUGGUCAAUGGAGGCAACUCUGAACCAGCCAUGCCGCGUGCAGGAAGAAGGCCCUAUGGGUCGUAAACUGCUUUUGUACCAGAGAAAACCCGAGUACGUGUACUCGGUUGAUAGUAUGGUAAGAAUAAGCAUCGGCUAACUUCGUGCCAGCAGCCGCGGUAAGACGAAGGAUGCAAGCGUUAUCCGGAUUCAUUGGGUUUAAAGGGUGCGUAGGCGGACUGAUAAGUCAGUGGUGAAAUCUCUCGGCUUAACCGAGAAACUGCCAUUGAUACUGUUAGUCUAGAGUAUAGAUGACGUUGGCGGAAUAUGACAUGUAGUGGUGAAAUACUUAGAUAUGUCAUAGAACACCGAUUGCGAAGGCAGCUAACGAAACUAUAACUGACGCUGAGGCACGAAAGUGCGGGGAUCAAACAGGAUUAGAUACCCUGGUAGUCCGCACCGUAAACGAUGAUUACUCGUUGUUGGCAAUAUGACCGUCAGCGACCAAGCGAAAGCGAUUAAGAAUCACCNGGAGACGCGCGACGAGAACGAGAAAGAAGUAGAGNGAGAGAGAGACGACGGACGACGACGAGGGAGGAGG